GGAAUAUCGGGAUCAGGGGCGCAGCUGAUGUUAGAUACCAUUGUGACGUCAGGACCGCUAAUGUUUGACUGGCAGCAGACAGCCAGGGCCAUCUUAACACCAGCACAAUGUAUAGUGUGGAACAGCAGACAAUUCUGGGCUCACCUCUCAGUGACAGCUCUGUGAACUGCCUCCAGCUUCUUAGCAUGUUUUUAAGAGCCUGCUGACACCUUGCAAUUAUCACUCAUCAGUCAUUUCUCAAGAGACUUGCUUUUACUGCCUGAAAGUUACUUAUCAUCCAGGAAGCAACACUGUAGUUGAUGUGCCUUGUCCUUUCUAUUCCUCACCCAUUUCCAAUUCUCCUCCUUCGAAUUUCAUUGCAUCUUAUUCCGAUAAUUUCACAAGGGCUGGGUCCAGAAGUUUUGAAAAGUAUCUUUGAGACCUGUGACUUUAUGGAAUGUAAACAACAACAACAAAAGGCAGAGAGCUGUCUCAUCCCUUUCAAUCGUGUUGUCCAUUUCUCCUGUGUCUUCCCCUCCACUGUGUUUCAUUGUCACCUACUCAGUCUGUGCUUGCCAUAUCACUAAAAAUGAUAAAAGUUUACAUUCUUUUGGGGCUGUAUUACUAGCUGUCCAGAGCCUCAUGUGCCAUGCACUGGACAUGUCUGGAUUGUAACUUUUCUGGAAGUACUAAUGUAUAAGUUCCUGAUCUAUUUACAAAAACAGAUCAUGAUAAUAAUGUAAAUGUAAAUUAAAAAAAAAUUGAUAUAUAACUAGUACUCUUAACUGGGCUCAUUGCCAAGGCAGUUGAUGAGCAGUGCUAGAUUUUGAAUCCAGGAUUUGGAAGGUAAUCCUAGAAAAUGUUACACAGCUGUUUAUUUUAUGUAAAAUGAUAGAGGCAUUUCAUUGGAGGACACAGGACUCUGAAUUUUACAAACCAGAUUCUUUCAUUUUCUCAAUUAUAAUAACAUUGUUUAAAAAGAUCUUUUUUCCUCACUUAUUUACAUAAUACAGUUAAUGCAGGUAUAAACAGAACUGUGUGUUUUUAGUUUUUACUGUAAUACAUUUCAGUGACAG
rnacentral:lncRNA from 1 species